AUUGAACGCUGGCGGCAUGCCUUACACAUGCAAGUCGAACGGCAGCACGGGAGCAACCCUGGUGGCGAGUGGCGAACGGGUGAGUAAUAUAUCGGAACGUGCCCAGUCGUGGGGGAUAACGUAGCGAAAGCUACGCUAAUACCGCAUACGAUCUAUGGAUGAAAGCGGGGGAUCGCAAGACCUCGCGCGAUUGGAGCGGCCGAUAUCAGAUUAGGUAGUUGGUGGGGUAAAGGCGCACCAAGCCGACGAUCUGUAGCUGGUCUGAGAGGACGACCAGCCACACGGGGACUGAGACACGGCCCAGACUCCUACGGGAGGCAGCAGUGGGGAAUUUUGGACAAUGGGCGGAAGCCUGAUCCAGCAAUGCCGCGUGCAGGAUGAAGGCCUUCGGGUUGUAAACUGCUUUUGUACGGAGCGAAAAGGCUCUCUCUAAUACAGGGGGCUCAUGACGGUACCGUAAGAAUAAGCACCGGCUAACUACGUGCCAGCCGCCGCGGUAA
rnacentral:rRNA from 1 species